rnacentral:lncRNA from 1 species
GAGGCCUUGACGGGGCCGGGGCUGCCCCGCUUCGGCUCCGAGCGGACGUGCGCGGGCCGUGAGGGACGGCAGUAUCCGGCCCCGGGGGCUUGGGCAGGCCAGGCAGCCGCUGGGGCUGCAGUGCGGGCCCUGUGGUGGCACUUACCCACGCUCUGGGGCAGGACAGGGAUCCCUUACACUGAGGCGUUUCAAACAUAAGUAUCUAAACUGUCACCGGGGGAGAGGUUGCAGGAUACCUCAUUCCACCAGGGCUCUGCCUUAGUGCCAAUUUUGCUUAAGGAGGAGGAAUUCCUUGAGCUGAAAUAGAUUUCACUGAAGAAAAUGUCACUGCCCAGACAGGGCCAGCUCUACCCACCCUGAGUUCUGUGAGGACUGAGCUGCUGGCUUCAGCUGUUGGAAUUUUAAGAGAUUCACGUGCUGAUGAGAGCUCAGCAGGACCUACGGGAACGUGUCUCUUGCUUGCUGGUCCCUGGUAUGGGCAGCAGCUGGGAAUCUUCUGUUUUCCUGUAAAAUGGAUCCAGAGAAUAAACUGUUACACUGUGGAAAAUUUCCAGAAGGAGCUGUGGGUGCUCAAAGUGCUGCUGCAAGCCCUGGACUCAGAAUAUCGUGUUGUUGAGUAGUGUGUGAUGGCUUGUCCAGAAGGGCCCUUGCCAGGGUGACAGAAUAGAGGG